rnacentral:lncRNA from 1 species
AGCAGCUCCAAAGCUAGUGAACUUUGCCUGGUGGGGACAGUACAGAGGACAUCACUUACCAAAGAUCUUUUCCAGAGGGUUCUGUGAGAGUUGUGUUGCUCCCACUGAUCCCCUGCUCUUCCCUGAGCUGUAGUUGGAAGUGGUGCCUGGCUGGGUGCUGCGUCCCACAGCUGCUUUUGAAAUGCUUUCUGAUCCUAACUCCAACUCAACCCAGCUCUGUGAGAGAGCCAAGCAUGAUAUUACCUGCUUUACUGAAGCUCAAGGUGUGGCCCAGUGCAUAAAGGCUUGUAUUGGGGAUCUGCUGCUGCUUCACCUCAACAGGCCUGCCCACAUUUGACCCCAGCAUGGUGUGGUUUUGUCAAUCCAGCAAACAUCCAAAUCUUCCUGCAGCAGCUGUGAGGUUUACAUGGACAUCAGUGGACAAGUUCUUUGCAGGUGCUGGGUCUUAAAAUGCGAGGGCUGCUCUGAAAAUGAUGCCUCCCAAUUCACUGUGUUGGCCAGCAAUGUCAGAGGCAGAUGAGGGUGGUGUGACAGUAAAGGCUGAACCUUCCCACCCAUAUUCUGUUA